ensembl:lncRNA
UUUAAUUUUUAAUACACAUUUUGACAUGCUGAGAAUUUCUUAUUUUUUUAAUUAGCACUGCAUGUUUUUCCACUAUGAACAAGCAGAGUGUGCUUUAGAGAGAGACUCUUCAGGAGUUGUCCAGAGACCUUUACAAGGGGUGAUCGGAUCUUACCGUGAGGACUGUAGGGAGCUCAAAAGUCCCCGUGAAUGCAUAAUGAAUGGAUCAGAGUCCCAGAUAGUUCAAGAAGAAUCUGGAUGUCCACCAAACGAACAUACAAAUGUUUCCUUAUAACUGCCAGGAGGAAGGUGUCUAAUGGUACAGUUGAAAGAGAGUAAGGAAGGAUGGAUAGUGCCUUAGAAUGACUAUCUGCAGGUCAUAAAUCCAGACUCCCCCUUCAGAUAAGCCUGAAGCAUCACACUAGCAAAAAACAAGACUACAUUUUUGGGUAGCACUCCAGCAGACUCACUCCCUUGUUUUCCACGACCUACAUCAGAGGGAUUUGACAUUAUAGUAACACAGGGCUAGUUGUUCACAGGCAGGCCCAUCACAUCACCACUCAGGCAUAGUAUGGAAAACUUACACUUGGCUUCCUUUCUCAGUCCAUGACGAGGAUUUUGAAAAGCCCUGAGAAGGGUUUGCAACAUCAUGAGGGAUGAAACUGAACUGCUCAUACAAUGCCUGAAACUGGGUUUCUAUGUUUCUAAUGACGAGUGGGUGGAUCACCUGGGCUCAUUCCGGACAUCUUCAUCUGACUUGACAAGCCCAGCUCACUGCCUGGCUGGUGUCCUGAGGUCUCUGCCUUUUACCCCUCUUCUGGAAAUCAACCUUACCUACUGGCUGGUGUCCUUUUAUGGCUAUUCCCACCAGCCCUCCCUGACAUGGAACAUUCUGGACUUGGUUCCUCCACUAAUGAGAGCAACCUCUUAUGGAACACUUUAUCAGAGCAGACUUAUCAGAUCUGCUUGGGCAGUUCCCAGGUAUCAGCCAUACCACGAGAGUGCCAGAACACACUGACCUGAGGCUUCCAAGAGAUGCCGAACAAAGCUUCAACCUUAUGUGAACCUUGAACUUCAAGAUGUUCAAGAUGGAUUUAGAAAAGGCAGAGGAACCAGAGGUCAAAUUGCCAACAUCCGUUAGAUCAUAGAAAAAGCAAGAGAAUUCCAGAAAAACAUCUACUUCUGCUUCAUUGAAUGCACUAAAGCCUUUGACUGUGGGGAUCACAAUAAACUGUGCAAAAUUCUUUAAGAGAUGGGAAUACCAGAGCACCUUACCUGCCUCCUGAGAAAUCCAUAUGCGGGUCAAGAAGCAAUGGUUAGAACCAGACAUGGGACAAUGGACUGGUUCAAAAUUGGGAAAGGCGUGCAUCAAGGCUGCAUAUUGUCACUCUCCUUAUUUAACUUCUAUGCAGAGGACAUCAUGUGACAUGCUGGGCUGGAUGAUGCAUAAGCUGGAAUCAAGAUUGCCAGGAGAAAUAGCAAUAACCUUAGAUAUGCAGAUGACACCACCCUUAUGGCAGAAUGUGAAGAGGAACUAAAGAACCUCUUAAUGAAAGUGAAACAGGAGCAUGAAAAAGCUGGCUUAAAACUCAACAUUCAGAAAACGAGGAUCAUGGCAUCUGGUCUCAUCACUUCGUGGCAAAUAAAUGGGGAAACAAUGGAAACAGUGACAGACUUUAUUUUCUUAGGCUCCAAAAUCACUGCAGAUGGUGACUGCAGCCAUGAAAUUAAAAGAUGCUUGCUCCUUGGAAGAAAAACUAUGACCAAAAUAGACAGCAUAUUAAAAAACAGAGACAUUACUUUGCCAACCGAGGUCCACAUAGUCAAAGCUAUGGUUUUUUCCAGCAAUCAAGUAUGGAUAUGAGAGUUGGACCAUAAAGAAGGCUGAGCACUGAAAGAAUUGAUGCUUUUGAACUGUGGUGCUGGAGAAGAUUCUUCAGAGUCCCUUGGACUGCAAGGAGAUCCAAGCAGUCAAUCCUAAAGGAAAUCAGUCCUGAAUAUUCAUUGGAAGGACUGAUGCUGGAGCUGAAGCUUCAAUAAUUUGGCCGAAGAACUGCGAAGAACUGACUCAUUGGAAAAGAAUCUGAUGCUGGGAAAGACUGAC